UCACAGAGGAUCGAGCGGACCAUGACGCGCCCAAGACUGAAGAAAAGUCAGCGAAUAAGCUGCCGAAGAAAAGCGCAAGACGAAGAACAAAGACGAAGACGCCAAUAAAGGAUACACGGUUUGGAUAUGAGGUUUAUACGACUGGGUCGUAUGUAUAUCGUAUAUGUUUUUGUCUGCGCUGCUGUAUUCUUAUUCUGCUGGACCUAAUGUUGCCAGCUAUUUUUAGUCAGUCACUACUAUAGUGCAUUUUGCAUGUCUAUGAA